GUCUCCUUAGAGACAUAUGAUAAAAUUGGAACAAUACAGAGAAGAUUAGCAUGGUCACCCUCACAAGGAUGACACUCACAAGUCGAGAAAAAACUAAAAAGCACUCUU